rnacentral:rRNA from 1 species
AACGAACGCUGGCGGCAGGCCUAACACAUGCAAGUCGAGCGAGCAUUUCGGUGCUAGCGGCGGACGGGUGAGUAACGCGUGGGAACGUGCCCUUUUCUGCGGAAUAGUCCUGGGAAACUGGGGGUAAUACCGCAUACGCCCUUUUGGGGAAAGAUUUAUCGGAGAAGGAUCGGCCCGCGUUGGAUUAGGUAGUUGGUGGGGUAAUGGCCCACCAAGCCGACGAUCCAUAGCUGGUUUGAGAGGAUGAUCAGCCACACUGGGACUGAGACACGGCCCAGACUCCUACGGGAGGCAGCAGUGGGGAAUCUUAGACAAUGGGGGCAACCCUGAUCUAGCCAUGCCGCGUGAGUGAUGAAGGCCUUAGGGUUGUAAAGCUCUUUCAGCUGGGAAAAUAAUGACGGUACCAGCAGAAGAAGCCCCGGCUAACUCCGUG